rnacentral:rRNA from 1 species
GGGUUGUGAGGUUAAGCGACUAAGCGUACACGGUGGAUGCCCUGGCAGUCAGAGGCGAUGAAGGACGUGCUAAUCUGCGAUAAGCGUCGGUAAGGUGAUAUGAACCGUUAUAACCGGCGAUUUCCGAAUGGGGAAACCCAGUGUGAUUCGUCACACUAUCAUUAACUGAAUCCAUAGGUUAAUGAGGCGAACCGGGGGAACUGAAACAUCUAAGUACCCCGAGGAAAAGAAAUCAACCGAGAUUCCCCCAGUAGCGGCGAGCGAACGGGGAGGAGCCCA